rnacentral:rRNA from 1 species
ACAGUGUCUGGUGGGUAGUUUGACUGGGGCGGUCUCCUCCCAAAGCGUAACGGAGGAGCACGAAGGUUAGCUAAUCCUGGUCGGACAUCAGGAGGUUAGUGCAAUGGCAUAAGCUAGCUUGACUGCGAGCGUGACGGCGCGAGCAGGUGCGAAAGCAGGUCAUAGUGAUCCGGUGGUUCUGAAUGGAAGGGCCAUCGCUCAACGGAUAAAAGGUACUCCGGGGAUAACAGGCUGAUACCGCCCAAGAGUUCAUAUCGACGGCGG